rnacentral:lncRNA from 1 species
AGGACAUGGGCCUUAUUAUCUGUAACCCCAGUGUCAAAGUAUUUCUGUGUGUGUCUUGGGCAGAGGCAGGGAAACCUCCAGAGAAAACAUGGGCAAAGGUUUCUGUUUUGUCAUGUGAAAAAAAUCUGAUGAAUACCACAGAGUACUGCCUGACAGACCUGCAUGAGUCAGGCCAAGAUAUUUCACUACUGGAGUUACUGUGUCUGGGGGAAAAGGAG